rnacentral:rRNA from 1 species
UACGUAGGGGGCAAGCGUUGUCCGGAUUUAUUGGGCGUAAAGCGCGCGUAGGCGGCCCGGUAAGUCCGCUGUAAAAGUCCAGGGCUUAACCCUGGAAAGCCGGUGGAUACUGUCGGGCUAGAGUCCGGAAGAGGCGAGUGGAAUUCCUGGUGUAGCGGUGAAAUGCGUAGAUAUCUGGAGGAACACCGGUGGCGAAGGCGACAUCCUGGACCGGUAUUGACGCUGAGGCGCGAAAGCCAGGGGAGCAAACGGG